rnacentral:rRNA from 1 species
GUGGGCUCUCAAGCGUGAGGUAAGGGCAAUUCGUGGAUGCCUUGGCGCAUACAGGCGAUGAAGGACGUGGCACGCUGCGAUAAGCUGCGGUGAGGUGUGAGCAACCUUUGACCCGCAGAUUUCCGAAUGGGGAAACCCACCCUCACCAUUUAAUUUCUACCGCCAGCAAUGACGGUCGGAGUUAAAUGGGAAGGGUAUCCCAAAGUGAAUACAUAGCUUUGGUGAAGCGAACCCGGAGAACUGAAACAUCUCAGUACCCGGAGGAAAAGACAUCAACCGAGAUUCCGUUAGUAGUGGCGAGCGAACGCGGACCAGGC